rnacentral:rRNA from 1 species
GCGUCCGGACUGGCCCAGGGAGGUCGGCAACGACCACCCAGGGCCGGAAAGUUCGUCAAACUUGGUCAUUUAGAGGAAGUAAAAGUCGUAACAAGGUCUCCGUAGGUGAACCUGCGGAGGGAUCAUU